rnacentral:rRNA from 1 species
AUUGAACGCUGGCGGCAGGCUUAACACAUGCAAGUCGAACGGUAGCAGGAGAAGGCUUGCUUUCUUGCUGACGAGUGGCGGACGGGUGAGUAAUGCUUGGGAAUCUGGCUUAUGGAGGGGGAUAACGACGGGAAACUGUCGCUAAUACCGCGUAUUAUCGGAAGAUGAAAGUGCGGGACUGAGAGGCCGCAUGCCAUAGGAUGAGCCCAAGUGGGAUUAGGUAGUUGGUGGGGUAAAUGCCUACCAAGCCUGCGAUCUCUAGCUGGUCUGAGAGGAUGACCAGCCACACUGGAACUGAGACACGGUCCAGACUCCUACGGGAGGCAGCAGUGGGGAAUAUUGCGCAAUGGGGGGAACCCUGACGCAGCCAUGCCGCGUGAAUGAAGAAGGCCUUCGGGUUGUAAAGUUCUUUCGGUAUUGAGGAAGGUUGAUGUGUUAAUAGCACAUCAAAUGG